GCUUCCGGGAGGAGUUGGACGUGCAGCCAAGAUGCUUCUGGACCUAUCGGAGGAGCACAAGGAACACCUGGCCUUCCUGCCGAGGGUGGACAGCGCGGUGGUCGCCGAGUUCGGGCGGAUCGCGGUAGAGUUCCUGAGGCGAGGGUCGAACCCCAAGAUCUACGACGGCGCCGCCAGGAAGCUCAAUGUGAACAGUGACAUUGUCCAGCAUGGGGUGGAGGGAUUGACGCAUCUCCUCACUGAGAGCUCUAAGCUCAUGAUUUCUGAUCUGGAUUUCCAAGACUCUGUUCUUGUUCUGGGAUUCCCUGAAGAAUUGAACAAACUCCUGCUUCAGCUGUAUCUGGACAACAGAAAGGAGAUCAGGGCCAUUCUGAGUGAGCUGGCCCCGGACCUUCCCAGCUACCACAGCCUUGAGUGGCGGCUAGAUGUACAGCUGGCCAGCAGGAGCCUCCGGCAGCAGAUUAAACCAGCUGUGACCAUGAAGCUCCACCUGAACCAGAAUGGCGGUCAGAGCACCAGCGUCCUGCAGACUGACCCGGCCACCCUGCUGCACCUGGCGCAGCAGCUGGAGCAAGCACUGGAGGAGAUGAGGACGAGCCACUGCCGGAGGGUCGUGCGCAGCGUCAAGUAGGCCACGGGAGGUUUUCACUCUGGUGUCACCCGAGCAUUGGGGACACCCAGGAAUGGCCUUUCAAGUUUGGCUUUGUAUCGAUCGGUUCUGGGAACAUCCCCCCCGGGCUUCAUAUGGAUUCUGACCCUGAGGAACAACCCAGGACGGCCUGAGAACCAUCAGACUCCGGGCUGCACUCUGGGCUCUGUCAACACAUUGCCUCAUGAGAAUUAGAGAUUUUCUGGUCAGUGUGAUGUCAUGUUUCUUUCUCUGUAGAGAAGAGCCAAGAGGGAGCAGAGGCAGUGCAUAAUGGCACAUUUGAAAUAAAUUACCACCAUUGUAGGUCUGUGUCCUGCUGAUAGGGUAGCUGUAUUAGCAGAAAUUAGCUAACUGUAAUCAGAAAUCAUUUUUAAUUAUAGUGAGAACUUGAUUAGUGGGUUCUCAUGUUAACCUCACACACCAAAGGGAUGUGUGACUACAUAGCAGAUGUCAUGGGGUUGAAAGCGACAUGGUACCAAGCUUGUGUGGUGCAAGUAGCUCUUCAUGGCUCCUCAUUUGUGAUUGUUUGAGGGAAGAUAAGCAGGCUAGCCUCCCGAGACUGAGAUACUUGCUGUAUCUCCUCAGAACAACCUGUCUUCCACCUCCAUCCCUGUCCUUACCCGGUCAGAACAAGAAAACUCAUGCUGGAGUUUCACCUGACUCAGACACCCUUGGCCUCUCUCUGUUCCUGUUAUGUGAUGUGCUUUCUGACUUAUUUGCCUUUCGGGGGACAAUGAGGUGGACACAGUCUGCCUGCCUCUUCAGAACCCGAAGCUCACUGUGUCAUCAGGCUCACGAGAGCCGCCUCUGUUUCUUGUUUAGACAUCCUGCAGCCUGUGCCCUGACCUGCCUUGCUGUGUCAUGGCACACUUGACAUUUUCUGGAACUUGUGUGUGAACAGAAUUCUCUGCACAUGCAGUCUGCUUCUCCAGUGUGACCCAUGACUCUGUGCCUUGACAUCUGUAGCUGCCGAAAAUUUCCUUCAAGCUUUCUGGAUUAGGAGUAUACUGAACUUUUCCAAGACCGGCUGACUCAUGUUUAGAUUAAGAGCCCUAUCCUCCGUGACCCAGAGCCAAAACACGGACAUCGUGGAGCACAGCUCUGAGCACAGACUGAGAUAGCCCAGACUCGAUUUUGUGGAAUAUUUAGGAGUGAUUCCUGCUGCACGGCUGAGGAAGGAUGAUGUCCUGACCCUCUUGGAGUGGAGGGUGCCCUGGAGCCAUCGCACCCUCCACGACAGUUAAGUGCAGUUCCUUAGUAAGGCUGCAGGAAGGAUCUUCUGGGGUGCUCCGAGGAAAGGGCCCCCAGGUGUGGUCUGUGAAAGUGCUUUCCUUGAAGCCACUGCCAUGCACGCAGGCAUAGCUGUAGUAGGAUUUGGUGGUAAGAGCUGUGGACCUGUGCAGAGGAAACCUGAAGUCACCACUGAGCGCCAGGGGAAUACCUGGAUGUGGGAAGGUGACAGAAGCUACACUGUAUUCUCUUCCCUGGAAGCGGGGUUCCCUGACGUAAUCAGAGGUGCGGUGGAAAAAGCAAGCAGUUCUUUUUACCUGCAGGACAGUGCUGUGAUUGUCACAAAUCCAGGAGAAGUAGAUGCCUGUGGUUUUGAAGGAAUGUGCUUAGUUCACAGAAUGCAGGCACUCGAGGCUGACUCAAAGACCAAAACACAGACGAAAAGUCACAGCAUGAGGAAAUGAAAGCCCAGGGAGGUCUGAGCCUUGCUGGGGCAAGUGUAGAUGGUGAGGAUGGAUUUUCUGUCAAGGGCUGCAAACUGUGUAUCUUUAUUCUAAAUAAGUAAGGAAUUCCUACAAAGCUUGGCGUAUAGUGCUGCAACAUAGUAAAACUGCUAAGAGUGAGCCUCAGGCUGAAGUGACUUUCUUACUACCUAAAAAAAAAGAACACGUACUCUUCAAAAAGGAAAAGUGACUUACCUUGUGGGAUGUCAAAACCUGUUUUCAUGUUUGUGUUCUCAAGGACGUAAUUACCUGCAUUGUUUUUUCUU